rnacentral:rRNA from 1 species
UACGUAGGGGGCAAGCGUUGUCCGGAAUCAUCGGGCGUAAAGCGCGUGUAGGCGGCCCGGUAAGUCCGCUGUGAAAGUCCAGGGCUCAACCCUGGGAUGCCGGUGGAUACUGUCGGGCUCGAGUCCGGAAGAGGCGAGUGGAAUACCUGGUGUAGCGGUGAAAUGCGCAGAUAUCAGGUGGAACACCGGUGGCGAAGGCGGUGGUCUAGGCCAGUACUGACGCUGAGGAGCGAAAGCGUGGGGAGCGAACAGG